AAUGAACGCUGGCGGCAGGCCUAACACAUGCAAGUCGAACGGAUCCUUCGGGAUUAGUGGCGGACGGGUGAGUAACGCGUGGGAACAUACCCUUUGGUACGGAAUAGCCUCGGGAAACUGGGAGUAAUACCAUAUGUGGUCGAGAGACGAAAGAUUUACCGCCAAAGGAUUGGCCCGCGUUGGAUUAGGUAGUUGGUGGGGUAAUGGCCUACCAAGCCGACGAUCCAUAGCUGGUUUGAGAGGAUGAUCAGCCACACUGGGACUGAGACACGGCCCAGACCCCUACGGGAGGCAGCAGUGGGGAAUCUUAGACAAUGGGGGAAACCCUGAUCUAGCAUGCCGCGUGAUCGAUGAAGGCCUUAGGGUUGUAAAGAUCUUUCAGGUGGGAAGAUAAUGACUGUACCACCAGAAGAAGCCCCGGCUAACUCCGUGCCAGCCGCCGCGGUAA
rnacentral:rRNA from 1 species